UAGGGUAUACCAAGGGGAGCGAGAGAACCUUCGUUAAGGAAUUAGGCAAAUUUCCCCCGUACGUUCGCAAUAAGGGGGGCCUUUGGCGGUGAGCUUAAUCGCAAAGCUGCUGGAGGCCGCAGAGAAAUGGCUCUUCCAACUGUUUAACAAAAACACAGGUCUCUGCUAAGUCGAAAGACGAAGUAUAGGGGCUGACGCCUGCCCAGUGCUGGAAGGUUAAGGGGAGAGGUUAGGCGCAAGCCGAAGCUUUGAGCCGAAGCCCCAGUGAACGGCGGCCGUAACUAUAACGGUCCUAGGGUAGCGAAAUUCCUUGUCGGGUAAGUUCCGACCCGCACGAGUGGCGUAAUGAGAGGAGCACUGUCUCAACGAGGGACUCGGCGAACAUUGAAGGACGUGUGAAGAUACACGUGACCCGCAGCGGGACAAAAAGACCCCGUGAAGCUUUACUACAACUUGCCAUUGAGUUAGGGCUAAACCUGUGUAGUAUAGGUGGGAGGCUUUGAAGCUGGGACGCCAGUCUCGGUGGAGCCACCGUUGAAAUACCACCCUGGUUUAUUCUUGGCUCUAACCUGUCGCCGUUAUCCGGCAUGGGAACAGUGGCUGGUGGGUAGUUUGACUGGGGCGGUCGCCUCCGAAAGCGUAACAGAGGCGCCCAAAGGUUCCCUCAGGCUGAAUGGAAACCAGCCGUUGAGUGUAAAGGCACAAGGGAGCUUGACUGCAAGACCAACAAGUCGCGCAGGGACGAAAGUCGGGCUUAGUGAUCCCACGGUUCAGAGUGGAAUGGCCGUGGCUUACCGGAUAAAAGCCACUCCGGGGAUAACAGGGUAGUCUGGUCCAAGAGUUCAUAUCGACGACCAGGUUCGCCGCCUCGAUGUCGGCUCAUCACAUCCUGGGGCUGGAUAAGGUCCCAAGGGUUGGGCUGUUCGCCCAUUAAAGUGGUACGUGAGCUGGGUUCAGACCGUCGUGAGACAGGUCGGUCUCUAUCCGCUGUGGGCGUAAGGGAUUUGAGAGAAGCUGCCCCUAGUACGAGAGGACCGGGGUGGACGGACCUCUAGUGUGCCAGUUGUUCUGCCAAGAGCAUUGCUGGGUAGCUACGUCCGGCAGAGAUAACCGCUGAAAGCAUCUAAGUGGGAAACUCGUCUCAAGAUUAGAUCCCUCAUCCGUAUGGAGUAAGACCGCUAGAAGACGACUAGUUUGAUAGGCGGCAGGUGUAAGCGCAGUAAUGUGUUCAGCUUAGCCGUACUAAUGGUCGAGGGCUUACGUUU
rnacentral:rRNA from 1 species